rnacentral:rRNA from 1 species
AUUACCCAAUCCUGACACGGGGAGGUAGUGACAAGAAAUAACAAUACAGGGCAAUUGUCUUGUAAUUGGAAUGAUGGUGACGUAAAAUCUCACCAGAGUAACAAUUGGAGGGCAAGUCUGGUGCCAGCAGCCGCGGUAAUUCCAGCUCCAAUAGCGUAUAUUAAACUUGUUGCAGUUAAAAAGCUCGUAGUUGAAUUUCUGCGUUGCCCGACUCGGCUACUUGCCUUGUCUGGUUUCGCUUUUGGGGUUUUCCCCUUUUUACUUUGAGAAAAUUAGAGUGUUUCAAGCAGACUUGUGUCUUGAAUACUUCAGCAUGGAAUAAUAAAGUAGGACUUUGGUUCUAUUUUGUUGGUUUGUGAACCUUAGUAAUGGUUAAUAGGAACGGUUGGGGGCAUUCGUAUUUAA